ACCAGACUCCUACGGGAGGCAGCAGUGGGGAAUAUUGCACAAUGGGGGAAACCCUGAUGCAGCGACGCCGCGUGAGUGAAGAAGUAUUUCGGUACGUAAAGCUCUAUCAGCAGGGAAGAAAAAAAGUCCUUUGGACUUUGGACGGUACCUGACUAAGAAGCCCCGGCUAACUACGUGCCAGCAGCCGCGGUAAUACGUAGGGGGCAAGCGUUAUCCGGAUUUACUGGGUGUAAAGGGGGCGCAGACGGCAGCGCAAGUCUGGAGUGAAAGCCCGGGGCCCAACCCCGGGACUGCAUUGGAAACUGCGAGGCUGGAGUGUCGGAGAGGCAGGCGGAAUUCCUAGUGUAGCGGUGAAAUGCGUAGAUAUUAGGAGGAACACCAGUGGCGAAGGCGGCCUGCUGGACGAUGACUGACGCUGAGGCUCGAAAGCGUGGGGAGCAAAUAGGAUUAGAUACCCCGGUA
rnacentral:rRNA from 1 species